rnacentral:tRNA from 1 species
UGUCCCAUGGUGUAGUGGUAGCACAUCUGGUUUUGGUUCAGCUAGCCUAGGUUCGAGUCCUGGUGGGACAA